UAGUUUGGUUGAAGAGUUUGCAGAUAUAAAUCGUAAAAUGGAGAAAACAGGAACAUUCACUAUGGAUAAGAAAAAGCUCCUUCAACUUGUUGGAAAGGCCAAUUCAAAUUUAGCAGAUGUAAUUCUCAAAGUUGGUCUUUUUGAGAGAAAUUGCGUGGAGGGAUGCAAAAUAUGCUCAAAUAUAUGAGUACCUUCGGGAAGAGUACGAGGUCACCCAGCGCGUUGGGAAUCUAGAUUUCAAAUUGAAGUCUGUGGAGGUAAUUUCAUUCUAUUCCAUUCAUUCCUUCAAAGUGGUUUUUUCCGUAUAGUUGAGCCUCUUCUCUUGAACGUUCUUCUUAAAUAUCGUGGCAAUAGCCAACUUGAAAGCAAUAUUAUCUAUUUUUGGUUAUAUGCAAUGGAAAAUGUGUUGAGAGGACGUGUAACCUCGUGAAAACUUUCGUAUUUUCUUUAGUAUUCUUUUUAAGGGAAAGAAAACCAAUUUAUACUAAAUGUUGUAUUAACUAAAUCUCUCAACUUUCACAAGUGAAUGAAUUUAAAUCCUUCAUUCUUAUUUCA